rnacentral:rRNA from 1 species
GACGAACGCUGGCGGCGUGCCUAAUACAUGCAAGUUGAGCGAUGAAGAUUGGUGCUUGCACCAAUUUGAAGAGCAGCGAACGGGUGAGUAACGCGUGGGGAAUCUGCCUUUGAGCGGGGGACAACAUUUGGAAACGAAUGCUAAUACCGCAUAAUAACUUUAAACAUAAGUUUUAAGUUUGAAAGAUGCAAUUGCAUCACUCAAAGAUGAUCCCGCGUUGUAUUAGCUAGUUGGUGAGGUAAAGGCUCACCAAGGCGAUGAUACAUAGCCGACCCGAGAGGGUGAUCGGCCACAUUGGGACUGAGACACGGCCCAAACUCCUACGGGAGGCAGCAGUAGGGAAUCUUCGGCAAUGGACGAAAGUCUGACCGAGCAACGCCGCGUGAGUGAAGAAGGUUUUCGGAUCGUAAAACUCUGUUGGUAGAGAAGAACGUUGGUGAGAGUGGAAAGCUCAUCAAGUGACGGUAACUACCCAGAAAGGGACGGCUAACUACGUG